rnacentral:rRNA from 1 species
UACGUAGGGUGCAAGCGUUAAUCGGAAUUACUGGGCGUAAAGCGUGCGCAGGCGGUUUUGUAAGUCUGUCGUGAAAUCCCCGGGCUCAACCUGGGAAUUGCGAUGGAGACUGCAAGGCUAGAAUCUGGCAGAGGGGGGUAGAAUUCCACGUGUAGCAGUGAAAUGCGUAGAGAUGUGGAGGAACACCGAUGGCGAAGGCAGCCUCCUGGGCCAAUACUGACGCUCAUGCACGAAAGCGUGGGGAGCAAACAGG